UACGUAGGGGGCAAGCGUUGUCCGGAAUCAUUGGGCGUAAAGCGCGUGUAGGCGGCUCGAUAAGUCUGCUGUGAAAGUCCAGGGCUCAACCCUGGGAUGCCGGUGGAUACUGUCGAGCUCGAGUCCGGAAGAGGCGAGUGGAAUUCCUGGUGUAGCGGUGAAAUGCGCAGAUAUCAGGAGGAACACCAAUGGCGAAGGCAGCUCGCUGGGACGGUACUGACGCUGAGACGCGAAAGCGUGGGAGGCAAACAGG
rnacentral:rRNA from 1 species